rnacentral:tmRNA from 1 species
UUGGUCCCGGGGGCGGUACCCGGCGCCUCCACCAAAGCACAAUCGAGCAUCAUUGUUUUUUGGCGGGGGCGAAAUUAGGAUCGACAAGGGUGUAAAGAUUGCUCUUUUACUCGGUAUUGUACCACCGUCAUCGGGCUGAUUGAAUAGUUGCAAACGACAACUAUGCGGAAGUGCGUCUCGCUGCUUAAUGAGGCGCGAAUGCUUCAAAUUAACUCUUAAACCGUCGAAGGUUUAAGCGGGGUUCGGAGG